GUGUAUGUGGGGAGGGGGGCAAAACACACACUACACACACAGCCAACACACAUCACAUAUUAUAUAUAUAUGUCAUGUGCUAUGGUCCCUGGUGGUCUAUUGGGGGGUUAAAGUCCCCACUGGCCUAUUGUGGGAGCUUGAUGACUGCAUCUUAGGCAGUUUCAGGCCACAGUUAUCCCUCCAUCAUAGAUCUCAGUACUCAGUCCAUGAACAGUUGUUGCCUUGUGCUGCGACUCAUUAGUAAGUGCCUUGAGGACCGAUUGCUGUGGUCUGCACCCACCAGAGGUACAGACCACUUGCACCCUCCUUGGCUUGGAUUUGAUCAUCGCAGGCAGUGCUGCAGCAGCCCUGAUUCUAACACACGGCUGGGCUGAAAUCAAU